rnacentral:rRNA from 1 species
AUGCGUGCCUCAUCACUCGUCGACCACUGCGCCACCUCACUGGUCGUCGUGGUGCUACUCACCGCAGCCGCAGCGGCACGGACGAAUAACGAGUGCCACUCCGGCGACAAGGCGGCGCUGCUGGCCAUCAAAUCCGCCUUCGGCAACGCAUCCUACUUCAACUCAUGGACGCCCGACACCCCGUGCUGUGAGUGGACCAGCGUCUCCUGUUCCGGUGACGGCUCCGCCGCCGCGCGCCGCGUCGUCGGCGUGUCCUUGGUGGACGACGCCAGCCUCGCCGGCCCGUUGCCCGGCGCCGCCAUCGCCCGGCUCACCGCGCUGCAGCAGCUGGUGCUGAACAACGUGCCCGGCGUGAACGGCACCAUCCCGCGCGACCUCACCCGCCUCAACGCCACCCUCGGCUUACUCGACAUCAUCUCCACGGGCAUCUCCGGCCCGGUGCCGUCGUUCCUGUCCGAGAUCACGGCGCUCAGCUACCUCAGCCUCUCGUCCAACAAGCUCACGGGCCCGAUCCCGGCGUCGCUCGGGGAUAUGCCCAACCUCUACUUCCUCGACCUCGGCUACAACCGCCUCACGGGCACAAUACCGCCGCUGCUCCUCAGGAAGGCCUCCGACGCAUACCUCUACCUCUCCCACAACAAGCUCACCGGCGGCGUCCCGGCCGAGUUCGCCGCCGUGCACUUCUGGACCAUCGACCUGUCGUACAACGGUUUCAAGGGCGAUGCCUCGUCCCUGUUCGGCGCCAACAAGCCGCUGCUGAACGUCGACCUGUCGCACAAUGCCUUCAGCUUCAACCUCUCCGGCGUGCAGCUGCCCGAGGGCCUCAACAGCUUGGAGCUGAGCCACAACGACAUCUACGGCGACAUCCCGGAAAUGGUGGUCGACAUGAUGCUGAAUUAUUUGAACGUGAGCUACAAUCGCCUCAGCGGCGUGGUGCCCGCCGGUGGCAACAUGGCCUGGUUUGAUCAGUCCUGCUUCCAGCACAACAAGGGGCUGUGUGGAAGUCCACUUCCACCCUGCAAGCACUGA